rnacentral:rRNA from 3 species
UACGUAGGCAGCGAGCGUUGUUCGGAGUUACUGGGCGUAAAGCGUGCGUAGGCGGUUUUGUAAGUUUGGUGUGAAAUCUCCCGGCUCAACUGGGAGGGUGCGCCGAAAACUGCAAGGCUGGAGUGUGGGAGAGGUAGGCGGAAUUCCUGGUGUAGCGGUGAAAUGCGUAGAUAUCAGGAGGAACACCUGUGGUGUAGACGGCUUACUGGACCAUGACUGACGCUGAGGCACGAAAGCGUGGGGAGCAAACAGG